GCACACUAAGCGAACCCAGCACAGCCCGUAAUGUGCUGCCAGGGUGAAGAUAAAGACAGAUCACACAGAGUUACUCAGCAGCAGUAGCAGGGAGAUUGAAGACUUUAUCGAAGUGCAGGAUCGAAGGAUCGAGAGGAGUCGGCAUCGUUCGGCAGUUUAACAAAGGAUCGACCUUAUUGAGUCUUCGUUGAAGGAGUAGUGACCUGCAUCAGAGAUAACUCUUGCCAAGAGAGCAAACAGUUCAUGCAAAGGUUUGCUCUCUCUCUCUCUCUCUAAAAGAAUUUAAGGUCAGUUGUUUUAAACUGUUUACUUACUGCAUCGUGAAUCCUUUGGACAGAACCAGCAGGAAAGUCGCGUCUAUGAAGAAAUCCUUCUCCAGAGAAGUCUCUCCCAAUUGAACGUAUAAAUCUGUUGGACUUUCGAAUUUACCAUUUUAGGAACUAUAUCUGACUUUAUCGCUUUAAGAACUGUUCGCAUUUAACGCUUUAAGAACCAGUGCAGUGAUGAUUUGUUGAACAGCUCCAUAACGGGUAACUUCCAGAUUACAACGAGUUUAUUCACCACCCAACGUUCAAGGAGACUGAUUCACUCCCAAACCGUUGACCCUGUGUUCACCCUGAAUGAAGCCAAGACUUGACCAAUGAGAGUGAAGCUUGAGAGAGAAUCCACGCCUCACCAACCAGCUGAGUUGCUCAUUGGCUGUCACUUUUCCUGAGGCCAUCACCCCUUACCUUUUGCAGCGUCGGAGACCUUUUUGGUCCAGCAGGGCUUCCGGAAGCUUCUUGCACUCUGCACAGAACUUGAAGGUAUCCUCCAUCUUCUGAAACAU